rnacentral:rRNA from 1 species
GAUGAACGCUGGCGGCGUGCCUAAUACAUGCAAGUCGAGCGAACAGACGAGGAGCUUGCUCCUCUGACGUUAGCGGCGGACGGGUGAGUAACACGUGGAUAACCUACCUAUAAGACUGGGAUAACUUCGGGAAACCGGAGCUAAUACCGGAUAAUAUAUUGAACCGCAUGGUUCAAUAGUGAAAGACGGUUUUGCUGUCACUUAUAGAUGGAUCCGCGCCGCAUUAGCUAGUUGGUAAGGUAACGGCUUACCAAGGCAACGAUGCGUAGCCGACCUGAGAGGGUGAUCGGCCACACUGGAACUGAGGCACGGUCCAGACUCCUACGGGAGGCAGCAGUAGGGAAUCUUCCGCAAUGGGCGAAAGCCUGACGGAGCAACGCCGCGUGAGUGAUGAAGGUCUUCGGAUCGUAAAACUCUGUUAUUAGGGAAGAACAAAUGCGUAAGUAACUAUGCACGUCUUGACGGUACCUAAUCAGAAAGCCACGGCUAACUACGUG